UGUGCUCAGUUAAAGAACCGUUUACUCUCUCACCUGAUUUGUAUCCGUCUGUUGCGUUAGCAGUUCCACUCGUGUGGGCUGGGGGUAUAACUGUUGUGACUCGGCGGGGUAAUUUUUGUUUUCCAUAUUCAUGAGCGGUACAUGAACGUUGGUUGUAAGGAACACUUUAUAAGGCACUCGGAAUACACGCGAACAUUAACGAUGCGUGUGAUGAUUGUUAACAAAAUUGUUGUUGUAUCGUAGCGGUCCCGCAAUGGAUUUGCAGUGUUGUGUAACGCACAAUGGUUAUCAUACAGGUGAGAAGGUUUCGUGGUCGUAUGCAAAUUCAUACAAUAUUAUUCAACAAUUUGGAAAAAUUGUUUAUAUUCGACGAUAGAACAGAAGCGUACACCGGUAAUGCCAGCGUUGGAGGCCUGGAGCAGCCUGACUGCGCGAUAAUGCAAACCGAUUUAUUGGGGGCCGGCAACGGCAACUAGUAUCAAGAAUUCGCUCUCUCCCUCUCUGUGUACAGUUUUAGCUCAUGGCACAACACACACAAGGUAGGGUCUUAGCGAGCGCUCUCUUGCAAGGCGUGUAUCAACGAAUUAACGGCGACCUCACAGGGAGAAGACAGAGGGGCAAAAGAAAUGCCACUAUCAACAAGCAGGUUGGCCGCACCUUAUGUACGUAAUGUGUCAUGCGGCCGCUUGCCCCAUUCGUAUUAUUUAUGAGUUCGUGCGAAUAUUAUUAAAUUAAAUACUGUUGGAUAAGUAUAAACAAAUAAGAAGAAGAGUCGACGUUGGACCAAUUUUUCCUGUCGCCAGAAGCUGAGAUCGCCACAGAGCCGUUGCAUCCCGUAUGCCGUUGAAUCUCUGUCAACUGAUAAACGUUUUCGCGCCUUUUCAAAUUUAAAUGAAUCAAAGCGAAAAAGCAGAGCAUCAUUUUGGUCAACGUAAUUGGAUCAACGGUUCACAGUCAAUAAACGUGCCUUCGACCAGCAAUUUGCAUUUGCCGUAUUGAUUGUACUCAACAUAGACACCAAUCGACUACAUGGCGGAUGGCCAGCGCAGCCAAAUGAUACACAUUACAGCUGUAUUUAUCGUGUGUACGCUGAACUACUCAGACUGUAUUGGCCUUCCGCUGAUAGCCAAAUCCUUCUUGAACAGGAUGCAAUGGCUAAUCUGCGCAGUCGACCUGUCCAGGUGCCUCACGUUCUCACGUUCGGCCAGACGCUAUUUUCCAAUAGAGACAUUACAAAUAUUUGAGUUAUUUUAGAUAUGAAAUGUUCUGGGUUGUUGUCCCUGAUGCAGCUGAGCCUGUUCGUGGUGGCAAGCCCAGGCUGUGCCAUUUUCGGAACUAAGUGAAUGUAGGAUAUACGGAGUUGAGUUUACUUUGGCAACUUAAUAGCUUAAUGUUUGAUUACAUCUAUUAAAAGAUACGUUUUUAGUUUAAUAGGCAAUCGAAUUGUUGCUUACUUAUUAACAAUAUAAAGAUUACCCAAUGCAUGGGUACAAUUUUAAACGAAGCUUAAACAGAAUGGCUAAAUAAUACUUAGACUAUAUUCAUUGUGUAAAAAUAAAUAAUUUGUUCAAUUAUGUUUCUCAAAAGUUUGUACUUACAUCACUGUUAUUUUCUGUGGCGCCCAUCGGAAUAUAUCCUGCACAAUACGUCCUUGUUUAAACAAUUAA